CUCUCUUCAAAGCUCAGCUGCUCUAUCUCUGGAUGCAUCAAGUGUUCUUCUGGCGGUGCAUACAUCAAGUGUUCUUCUGCUUCUGAGCAACUGUUGUUCAAUCGCCCAAACUCUCAAUCUCUCAGGCAGUGCAUGCAUCGAGUGUUCAUCGAUGCAGAAAUGGAGGACCAUCGAGUGUUCAUUGACCAACCUCCGGGAACUUUAUGUUGGAUACUUCAACACUUACACGCGCGGCAUACCGCCUAAGAUUGGAAACUUGUCGCAACUCGUCAGAUUUGACGCUGUGAACUACAGAUUGACUGGCGAGAUACCAUCGAAACUCGGCAAACUUCAGAACCUCGAUACUCUGUUUCUUCAAGUGAAUGGACUUUCAGGUUCAAUAACAUGCUUACGGGUCAGAUUCCGGAGAGAUUUGCUAAAGUAAGAGCCUCUAGAUUUUGGAAUUCUAUCCAGCAAAACAAUUCCAGUUUUUAGCAUCCUUGAGGAUGAAGACAUGGAAGGACACCUUGAGCAUUGUGCAUGGAAGUCCGCAUCCAGUUAUCAUGGUUUCUUUUCUUUACUUAGGACUAGAGUAGCUACUAUGUUGC